rnacentral:rRNA from 1 species
UACGGAAGGCAGCAGUGGGGAAUAUUGCACAAUGGGCGCAAGCCUGAUGCAGCCAUGCCGCGUGUAUGAAAAAGGCCUUCGGGUUGUAAAGUACUUUCAGUCGUGAGGAAGGUGUUAAGGUUAAUAACCUUAGCAAUUGACGUUAGCGACAGAAGAAGCACCGGCUAACUCCGUGCCAGCAGCCGCGGUAAUACGGAGGGUGCGAGCGUUAAUCGGAAUUACUGGGCGUAAAGGGCAUGCAGGCGGUUAAUUAAGUUGGAUGUGAAAUCCCCGGGCUUAACCUGGGAAUGGCAUUCAAGACUGGUUAGCUAGAGUCUUGUAGAGGGGGUAGAAUUCCAUGUGUAGCGGUGAAAUGCGUAGAGAUGUGGAGGAAUACCGGUGGCGAAGGCGGCCCCUGGGACAAAGACUGACGCUCAUGUGCGAAAGCGUGGGGAGCAAAC